GCACGAGUGGCAGAGAGAAUAUGCGCGGGAUUGCAAACCCCGUAUUACGCCGGUUUGAAUCCGGCCUCGUGCUCCA
rnacentral:tRNA from 1 species